rnacentral:rRNA from 1 species
UGAGGAAUAUUGGGCAAUGGGCGCAAGCCUGACCCAGCAACGCCGCGUGAAGGAAGACGGUUUUCGGAUUGUAAACUUCUUUUAAGAGGGACGAUAAUGACGGUACCUCUUGAAUAAGCCACGGCUAACUACGUGCCAGCAGCCGCGGUAAUACGUAGGUGGCAAGCGUUGUCCGGAUUUACUGGGUGUAAAGGGCGAGUAGGCGGACCUGCAAGUCAGAUGUGAAAUCCCCGGGCUUAACCCGGGAACUGCAUUUGAAACUGCAGGCCUUGAGUGAUGGAGAGGCAGGCGGAAUUCCCGGUGUAGCGGUGGAAUGCGUAGAUAUCGGGAGGAACACCAGUGGCGAAGGCGGCCUGCUGGACAUUAACUGACGCUGAGGAGCGAAAGCGUGGGGAGCAAACAGG